GACGAACGCUGGCGGCGUGCUUAACACAUGCAAGUCGAACGGAAGGACCCUUCUUUUGUUGGGUUGUCGAGUGGCGAACGGGUGAGUAACACGUGAGUAAACUGCCCUUGACUUUGGGAUAACUUCAGGAAACUGGGGCUAAUACCCGAUAGGAGCUCCUGCUGCAUGGUGGGGAUUGGAAAGUUUCGGCGGUUGGGGAUGGACUCGCGGCUUAUCGGCUUGUUGGUGGGGUAGUGGCUGACCAAGGCAUUCAAGGGUAGCCGGCCUGAGAGGGUGACGGGGCACAUGGGGCCUGAGAUACGCCGCAGACUGCAAUGGUAGGCAGUAGGGGGGAAUAUUGCACAAUGGGCGGGAGCGUGAGGCAGCAACGCUGCGUUCGUGAUGACGUGUUUCGGGGUGUAAACCGCUGUCGAAUGUGACGAAGAGAGAGUGACGGUAAUGGGUAAAGAAGCAACGGCUAACUACGUG
rnacentral:rRNA from 1 species